ensembl:lncRNA novel transcript
AUAAAUGCCCAUGACACUGAUAGUCAAUGUUGAGUUCCUUAGGAAAAGUAGGACUUAAAAGCUACACAUCAGAAGACUGACUGUAAGAUAAAUCAGUGAGGGAUUCAUGGAUGUCUGAACUAGUUUGUGAAGAACUGUAGGAUAUUGACUGCAGGGACGGCAAAUGCAGACACAAGGAGGCAGAAUCAUAUGCAGCAUAUUCAGGAAGGGUGUAUAACUUUUGGGGUGGCUGUAAAGCAAUAUGAAACAAUAUAUCAUCAAUCAGAAGGCUGACAAAAUGUCCUGCACCACCACCACCACCCACACUUCCCUGAAGGGAGAAGAGCUUUGUCAAAAGAUUUCCCGGGUAUGAGCUUUGACAACCUUUCCUGCCAAUGCACCUGGUGAGAAGCUUCAGUCAAUUCUUAAAAAGAAACAAAGUCAUGUGGAUCUAAGACAUAGAAAGAGUGAGCCCUGACAAGAACGCUUAGACUUGGAAUUCUCGGGAAAAAAAUGCCCAGGAGUUCAUGACUUAGGCCAGGAUGAAAAAUCACUUUGGAGUCACAGAGAGUAGCCUGAUUUAGAAAGGUAGAGACAAUGGAACCAUGGAAUUACUUGGGAACCUUCCUGAAAAGGAUAUAGCACCUUGACUAAAUCACUGAGGAUUGCGUCCCUGAGAAAGGCAAUUAAUCAUGCACAUUUAUGACCUGCAAUCUCCAAGAAGGCUUCAGGAUGUACCCAGUGGGAGAAUUCAUGGACUAGUAGGCAAAAUGCCAGCUCAGACAGGAAUACUUGAUACUCUGGUAUUUCUGGCUCUAGUAAAUAUUGCCCAAAUCACCAUAAAAAAAAGACAUUUAAGUGCACUGAUUUCGGGGGAGGGUAGACUGCAAAAGAGAUCAUUUUAGGGCUCUGUCACUUUCUCCCUCGCCUGUCCUCCCCUCAAAUAUCUUUGUUCUUUUAAAUCCUAUCCCGUCCUUAUUCCUUUUCCCUUUACUAUUUUCUACAACCUAAAAGUUGGCUCAGCCUAGAAAUAGUACCGGGUAGAAAAAUCUUAAUAGGGUAUAUGGUCAUGGGUAAAGAGAUGGUUGCAAAAUAUAUUGUUGGAAUGAGUUGGGGAUAGGAGCUGAAAUCGGGGAGAAGUCCCAUUACUCUGGUAACAAAAAACAUAUAAAGAGUGAGAGAAGGAAAAUCAAAUCACCAUUUAUUACAAAUACAUCUUCAAACUUGGUUCAAUAGUUGUCUCUAAAGCCACUAUGUUACAAGAUUUUGUUAAUGAUUUUAGUUUUUUCUAAGUUAAACAAGUAAUGCUUGUUCCUUGUAAAAAAAAUCAAAUAAUACAGAAGUCUAAAAAAAAUGUAAAACCUCCAAAACCUGAUUCCCUGGAAGGAAAAAUUGAUUACAACUCGGUACUUUUUUGGACUUGCAAAUUUUUACAUACAUGUAUUUUUUCAACGUAUAAUACAAAAUAUAUAAAGGGCCCCUUCUUUUAAAAAGAAUUACUUUAUUCUUUUGUAUGAAUAAGAUAAAAAUAAACAUACUCUCAGCAUACACUUUACUCUUACUCAUGAACAUCGUAAUUGUUCAUAUUUGAGGUAUAUAAAUUUGACAUUUAAUAGGCAACUCUCUACAAAUUAUUAUUUAUGAGUCAAAAUUUAGUUUAUUCAAAAAACGGUGACUAAAAAGCAUGAUAUCUGUUCUUAUGCAGCUUAAAUUCUAUUUGGAAAAUAAAGCCACGCCAAAGAAAUAUUAAAACAAAAAUAUCAGGAAUAAAUGCUAAUAAAAUAAUGAAAAUAUCAUAACGUGAAAGAGUGACUGUGUAUCUACUUUACAUUUUUAUGGUAUCUCUUUUAAGUCUUAUCCACCAAGAAAAAAACUAAAGUAUGAGUUUUAUACUGUAGUUUUGUACAAUUAAAUUCUCAAGAUUCAAAAAUACCUUCCAAAUGCUAGCAAUUAGGCGUAUAAACUCUCGUAGGCUUUGUGCAAUGGUAUCCUGUAAGGCCAGCUCUUUCUAAGUCAAUCACUAUGGGUCUGAUUGACCUUGGCAGUAUUACAGGGUCAUAUUUUUACAUGGCUGAGCUGUUCUUGAACAAUUUCUACAAUGUACUAGGUACAAAUAGUCUUUUCUUCAGCACAAGGCAUGCGUGUCUUAUCUUCUCACCCAUUCUUCUCCUCACUGCCACUCCACCCCACCUUUUCUUUCAUUACUUUUAUGAAAGAAAAACUAUUGUAGGACAUGUAAAGAAAACUCGUCCCCACGGGCUUUUUUUCUUUCAGCCUGCCCUUUCUUCAUGCUAUGUUAUAGUUGAAAUACUGCACUUGUGGACUCCUGGUUUAUUCUUAAGAUGGAUUUUAUUUGUGAGUUUAUCUGGUUGUUUUGUGGCUCCAAUAUCGCAAAGAAUAACCUCUUUUCAUUUUCAUCAGAGGAAGGACAAGAGCUGGAAAGGGAUGUGGUUCUAUCAGCAAUUCGCCUAGGAAAAAUUUCAAUGUUUUUCUAAACUGUUCUACAAAGGAAUUGCAAUGUCAUCACAAAAAAAGACUGAGAUUACAGUUCUUAACUAUCAAAUAUCUCCAAUAAAAUAUAAUUUUUAAAUAAAGAAAUAAGACCCAUUUCCAUGAAGGCAAUCUUUUAUUUCCUUUAUGCUUCAACCCAGCAUAGUGUGGGGCGGAGGGGAGAGGAGAAAAUAUUAAACUAGAAACCAAGGUUGUCAGGCAGGA